CCGACGCCAAACUGCCCGAUGCCCAGGCCGGUUACGAAAAGGCGUUUACCGCCGUGCUCAACGCCAUGGGCGGUUCCAACUAUAUCCAUCAUGC
rnacentral:ncRNA from 1 species